GUCGCGGAGGUUGGCUGUGUGUCUUUCCAGGCCUGUCCGCGGCCGGCGAAGGGGAGGGCGCGGGCGCGGGCGCCACAGCUUCUCUGGAUUCUCGGACGCAUGGCUGGAGGGCGGCGGGCGGGUGCGUCCGUGCGGGCCUCGGGGCGGACGCCGUGGUCCAGUGUCCGAGUCUUGGGGCGGAGGCUCGAAGGCGGCGUGCGUCUUUGUCCCGCUGGGCCGGCACCGUCUCAGGAGCCUGAGGUCCCCGAAGGCCGGGACCUCUUUGCCCGGAUUCGCCGCUGGGGAUGAGCAGCCCCGAGAGAUCUGGAUGGCAGACUCACUUCAGGAUUUUGGAGACGGGAGCAGCAUUACUCCCGGAGAUUGCACAUUAGGGGUUGCCAGCAUGUGAUCAGCAACUGAGCACGGGAGCCAGGAGCACCGGCCUGCUCUAGGUGCGUCGUUCAUCUCCCACAUUGUGAGUGGCCCUUGGCAGAGCAGAGCUGGAGAGCUGGCGGCCACACCUCAGCUCUAGAAGAGGCUGUGCUGGAGCAUGGAGGUCCCAAGGACCAGUGGCAGCCAUCAGCUUGGAAUCUGAAAAUCCUGGCUUCAGAGUUUGUAGGAACAAGCUCACUUUGUGCUGAGUAGCGAGGGUGUUCUCUCACCAAUGAGAGAACCAAGAAAUGGAUUUGGCAAGCUUUUCCUGCGGUAGGCUCUUCUGGUGUCAUUAAACUCGUGAGCUUUCUAGUAUUGUCCCUUAACCAAAAGCUUUUGUACUUUGAGAUUGUACAAUUGAGUUUUCUGAACUGGAAAUUUGCUGAACCAUCUCCACGCAGUUACCAUAAUUAAUAAAAGGAUGAUCUUUUUGGUAUUGGUUCUUAAAAA